AAAUCCCGCUGCAGCCAUUGCCGCAGACACGAUGCCGAAACGAAAGAAGCAGAAUCAUCACCAGCCACCGACACAGCAGCAGCCCCCGCUGCCCGAGCGGGAAGAGACUGGAGAUGAGGAGGAUGGGAGUCCCAUCGCCCCAAACUGGAUACCACCCACAUGUCCAUCAUCAGUAGAAUGGAUAAAUAAAUUGUUGUGUAUGCAUGCAAUGGGACUACACUGCAACGAAAAUGAAUGAACUGCUGCUACAGGCAACCUGGAUGAAUCUCACAAACAUGAUGUUGAGCGAAAGGAGCCAGACAUAAAAGAAUGCAGACUCUCUUCACAGAGGUCCUCCAGGAUCAAGGGGACCACUGAUUCCACCACUGCUGAGUCUCCCACCUCCUCCUUGGGGUAGAGGCCCAAUUCGGAGAGGGCUUGGCCCCAGGUCUAGCCCAUAUGGUCGUGGUUGGUGGGGAGUCAAUGCAGAACCUCCUUUUCCGGGGCCAGGCCAUGGGGGUCCCACCAGGGGAAGCUUUCACAAGGAACAGAGAAACCCUCGAAGGCUCAAAAGCUGGUCUCUUAUCAAGAAUACCUGCCCGCCCAAGGAUGACCCCCAGGUUAUGGAAGACAAAUCCGACCGCCCUGUCUGCCGACAUUUUGCCAAAAAGGGCCACUGUCGAUAUGAGGACCUCUGUGCCUUCUACCAUCCAGGCGUCAAUGGACCUCCUCUGUGAGACUGUGCCUUCCCAUCCAGGCUGGAAGGAGCUCUCUGUGACCUAGCGGCCAUUUAUUUCUCUGUAGCCCUAUGAUGGCUACUGUGAGGCUCUUCUAACACCCUCAGUCAGUGACACACCCAUCCCAUCCACCACUUCCCCCGUGUGGGGUCCAGAGUGGUGUUGCAUCACUGGUGCGCGGCAUACGCGCUUUCUUCUGAUCCAGCCUGUAGAGACUCGCCUUUGGGACCCAUCUUUGCUUCCUUUCAGUUGCCUCCUGGAUCUUCUUUCCCGUCAUCAAAUGACUGCUGAACAGGAAACCUCUUUGGUGCUGUUUCUUGUGCAUCUGUCCACCUGUUCCCCAGUAUUGCCCUCAAUUCCUGAGAGCCCUGGAGCGGUUUCCUACCAUUCCCUUCUUUUAGCUGCUUGUUUUAAGUCCUUUUUAUGUGACAUUCCCUACCCCCAAUGUUGUCAGCUGCUUGUGAAACUCAGCCAGGUUGUCUAACCUGGGGUCAAGUUUGGGUGACUGGUGCAGAGUUACUUCCUAAAAGGCCACUCUCCCUGCCUUUGGAUUUCAUAGUUUCUCUGUCAGUAGCAUGAUCCCCACCGCUAUGGUCUAUCUAUGAUCACCGUGCUUUGUGAAACUGUGCAUCCCCUUGUAGCCUUUCUCAGUGUCCGUGGCAUUUUUGUGACUUCCCAGCACUAGAAUAAGUUUUCCUGCCAAAAUGAGUGAGGCGCUUGGUGCCCUCUGGACUUUCCCACUUCCCAACAUGGGAGAAUUGUGAACUUUCCAUCAGACUGCCUCCCUGGCCCUCCCCAUUCUUCUCCUGUUGGUUAUUCUGAGUCUGACACAGACCCAUGACAUGUCUUAUAAAGCCUCCAAUGGCUUUAUCCUACCUAGAUCCCUUCCAGCCCAUUUUAAUUAGACUAUGUCAUUGUGAGGCCACCAGUCCAUUCAUUUGAAUUCUGUGAAUCUCCACCUUGCCUAUCUUUGGGUAGAAGCUGGACAGUACUGUUGCCCUCUUCCAAUCCUCUUCCCCUACAUCCCUGGCACUGGUUGUUUUCUGUGAAAACAGCAGUGAACAGGUUCAGUUUUGAACUGGCCCUGAGGAAAUGGGUCAGGAGUUGUAUUGGCAAGAGGGAGGGGUGAGAGCUGUUGGAGAACUGAGAAUGAGGUUUUUUUUUUUUUUUUCUUUUUAACUUUUUUUAUAUUAGUAAUAAAUGCAGUGGAAACCAGCAUUUUAUUUAA
rnacentral:misc_RNA from 1 species